AGGGUUUGAUCAUGGCUCAGGAUGAACGCUAGCGGCAGGCUUAACACAUGCAAGUCGAGGGGUAACAGGGAUUGCUUGCAAUCCGCUGACGACCGGCGCACGGGUGCGUAACGCGUAUGCAACCUACCUUCUACAGGGGAAUAGUCAAUAGAAAUGUUGAAUAAUACCCCAUACGAUCUUUGAAUAGCAUUAUUUAGAGAAGAAAGUUCCGGCGGUAGAAGAUGGGCAUGCGUCCUAUUAGUUAGUUGGAGAGGUAACGGCUCCCCAAGACAUCGAUAGGUAGGGGUCCUGAGAGGGAGACCCCCCACACUGGUACUGAGACACGGACCAGACUCCUACGGGAGGCAGCAGUGAGGAAUAUUGGACAAUGGAGGCAACUCUGAUCCAGCCAUGCCGCGUGCAGGGAGACUGCCCUAUGGGUUGUAAACUGCUUUUAUACAGGAAGAAAUGUACCUACGUGUAGGUAUUUGACGGUACUGUACGAAUAAGGAUCGGCUAACUCCGUGCCAGCAGCCGCGGUAAUUC
rnacentral:rRNA from 1 species